AGAAUCUUCAUUUAACAAGAUCCCAAAGGUGACCCAUAAUACACAUUAACGUUGAGAAGUGCUAGGCUAGCCUGUGGAACCUCUUUUCAUGGAACAUAAUAGUCUUUCUGUGGAACUCUUUGGAAAUGCUGCUUUAGGUAACGGGAAGCCAAUAAUUUUGAGCAAGAAACCAGAAUGGAAGUGGACUUAACCCUUGUGCCUCACCACACAAGGCAACGUCUCAAAAAUCCCAGGUGGGAACCUUUCCCUGACUCUUCACACUUACUCCUAGGGAAAACUUCCAGUCAUUCUCUUCCACUGCAGGAGAUCUCAUUGGGUCACGAAGCUCAGCAGACUAUACUGGCCAGAGCCACAGCAGCAAGCUGUAAACCACUAGUCCAUAAGCUCUUUGGUCUCAUGGGAACUAAAAUAUCUGCUCAUUAACGUGGAAGCCAGCCAUCAUUCAUAGUGAUGUCCAUGUUCUAGUGCUUCAUCCAAGUGUUUGUCGUAUCUUUGGACCCCUGUUAACUGAAGACCCAGUCAGUCAUUUAAUGGUCUAUAUUUCUGGGCAGUUUUUAGCUAAGAUAUACCACAAGAGUUGUCUUUUCAAACAUGGUUGUUUAAUUACAAUUAUCUUAUUUUGGAAAUAACUUUGAAAAUUACUGCCCUAAAAGGUCAUGCUGAAUUAUUCUCUAGUUGUUGUGAGUUUUUGAAAGCAAGAAUCUUGCUAGUCUUUUUUAGAUGACUUUAACAAAGAUUUUAUAUUUUUUAUUUUUUUUAUUCCUUCCUGUUAUGAGUCAGAACUCUGAUAAAAGAGCCACUCAGUGAUACGGUUUGAGAUGCUUAGGCCACAAGGGCCACAAUCAGAUGUGAACAUUUCCCUCCUUGGGGGAAUUCUGGAGGUGAGGGUUCGACAGUAAAGGUUUCCUGGCAACUUCGGCCAUCUAGUGCCUGGCACGAGAGGCGGUGUCACCACACCUCUUCUGGCUUCCUCUGUAAAGCAUAAUAUCAUCCAGUUCCAUCCAUGUCAAUGUAAAUGUUUAUCCAGAUGCAAAUAUGGAUGUGGACUCAGAAUCACCCAACUCAUCAUUAUGGAAACAUCACCAUCUACAAAGGAACAUGAACAAAAGCAGUAGAAUCUUCUUUGCUUGAAAUAUCUAUUGCCAGAAGGGCAAGUUGCUUUUGUAAAACGAAUUGUAUUUUAAUCAGAUAGCUUAGCUGAUACUAUGAGGCCUGGAGCAAACCUUAUGGUACAGCAAUGGGUCUGUCUGUUGCAUAGGUUCUGAUGUCUCAUUGGCCGAGCUCUUGUUUUUGUGAUGAUGGACAAGAACUAGGCUCUCCAGCCCUGAUUCUCUGGUGAAUGCCUGCCACGGCUGCCAUAACAAGUACCACAGACUGGUGUAUUUCCACCCAGAAGUAAACCCAGAAGUUUAUGUCCUCAUGGUUGUGGAGGCUGGAAGCCCAGGAUCCGGGUAUUGGCAGAUUUGGUUUCUCCUAAGGGCAUCUCCCUUGUCUUGUAGAUGGCCGUCUUCGCUGUUUGUGUCAUUUUCCCUCUGUGUGCGUCCAUGUCCUGAUCUCCUCCUCUCACAGGGACACCAGUGAGAUUGGGUUAGGGCCCACCCUAAUGAGCUCAUUUUACCUUAAUUUUCUCCUUAAAGGUCGUUGUCUCCAAUUACAGUCACAUUCUGAGGACUUCCAACAUAUAAAUUUUGGGGGGAUACACUUCACCUAUGACACCUGGUUUGGGAGUAUGGCUGACAAUCUCUGCUCUGCAAAAUUGUGUGGUUUUGAGGUCAUGUUUAGAAAGCUCCUGGUGCAAUGCCUAGCACACAGUAGAUGCUCACUGAGCAAGUUAUUAUCUCUACUUGUUAAGUUUGGAUUUUGAAUGUCAGAUUUUCUUAAACUGGGAGGCACCCAUAACAGAACCCAGGGGUUUUCUAUAUUGGAUCAAAGUGCCAUUCAGCCAGUUAGGAGCUUGCAUGUUCAUAUUGCAUCUCCAGCCUCAACACCAUUGCACAUGUAACACCCCUUUAAUGAGAUACCCUCCCAUAGCCUCUUCCCUGAAAUCUGUCCUGCUCCUUUUGAACCAAAACACUGCAUGUGCUAAACUCAUCACUUUCAAGGAAUCCUUCUGGACUGGACCUUUCUGGUUCCAAUCUCUUAGGUCACUCUGGUUCACCUGUGAGGCAGUAAACCAUCCCCCACACUACAGAUGGGCUCAUGGGUCUGGAGUCCCUCGGUGUCCAGCUCCAUUGCCCAUAUCCUGUGCAUGGGCAUGGUAUUCAUUUAUACCCUCAGUUUCCCCAUUUGUAAAACAUACAGCAGUGUAAGGACUGAAUAAAAUGGUCAAAGUAAAACCCUUAGCAAAAUGGCAAUAAACCCUAAGUAAGUUCUUCACUUCUGUCAGCUUUUCUUACUUUUCUUGUGUGCUCCUCAUACCUGUUUCUCUCCAGAUAUCUAAUUAUGGGAGGAAUAUCCUGUCAGUGUGCCCAUCCAGACUACAAUUGACUGAGCGACCCCUGUGGUAUUCCUGAGAAAGGGUGGGCAGGUGACUAAUGUGAGGGAGGAGCCCAGCAGUGGGCAGCACAGCUCCCAGCCUGCACAGUGUUGCUGGGCUCCAAGGCCUGCUGGUCUUCCCCACCCUGGGCCUCCCCGCAGUUUUUCCCAGCAUCUUCCCUCUUCCUCUCCUCAAUCACUCUUUCUCCUCUCCUUCCUCUCUACUUGGUUAUGAGCAUGUUCACCUUAUUCUGAAAGGACCUUCUCUUCCCCACAUCACACACAGAUUUUCCUCCUAAAUUUUCCUUUCCUUCUCUGCGAACGUCUUGAAAGAGGAGGCUGUGUACUGAGCUUUAGUUUCUGUGCCAUCCACACCUUCCUGAGCUCCUUCACAUUUUGGUCCUGUCCCUGAAGCUCCCUGUGAAAUAGUUCCCUCUAGCCAUUCUUCUUUUCUGUCUUCACGCUCAUCAAUGUCUCUGUGUUUUUCCUCAUUGCGCGUGUCCUGCUUUCCAAAGCUCUCUUCUUCUGAUUUUCAUGACCUUGCUGUGGAUUGUCCCAGGUCUAGUCAGCAUUCCUAGUUGGCUCAGAGGAUCUCCCAGUUCUGACUAUGUGCCUGGGGGCUGGUGCCCAGCUUAGGGGUGUGUGUGGGCAAGUCCAUGUGAGGAGAGGAACUGCCAGGGGCCUGAUUGGGAAGGCUUUCUGGAAGUGACACCUAUACUCCAUUCUGCCUCUCUUCCUG